GUGGGGAAUAUUGGGCAAUGGGCGCAAGCCUGACCCAGCGACGCCGCGUGAAGGAAGACGGUCUUCGGAUUGUAAACUUCAGUUAUACGGGACGAAAGCGUGGCAACACGCAUGACGGUACCGUAAGAGAAAGCCACGGCUAACUACGUGCCAGCAGCCGCGGUAAUACGGAGGAUGCGAGCGUUAUCCGGAUUUAUUGGGUUUAAAGGGUGCGCAGGCGGCGCGCCAAGUCUUCGGUGAAACUGCGGGGCUCAACCCCGCCGAGCCGAGGAAACUGGCGUGCUAGAGUUCGGCAGAGGCAUGCGGAAUGCGCGGUGUAGCGGUGAAAUGCAUAGAUAUCGCGCAGAACUCCGAUUGCGAAGGCAGCGUGCCAUGCCGCGACAGACGCUGAGGCACGAAAGCGCGGGGAUCGAACAGGAUUAGAAACCCGAGUAGUCC
rnacentral:rRNA from 1 species